AGAGUUUGAUCCUGGCUCAGGAUGAACGCUAGCUACAGGCUUAACACAUGCAAGUCGAGGGGCAUCAGUUUGGUUUGCUUGCAAACCAAAGCUGGCGACCGGCGCACGGGUGAGUAACACGUAUCCAACCUGCCUCAUACUCGGGGAUAGCCUUUCGAAAGAAAGAUUAAUAUCCGAUAGCAUAUAUUUCCCGCAUGGGUUUUAUAUUAAAGAAAUUCGGUAUGAGAUGGGGAUGCGUUCCAUUAGUUUGUUGGCGGGGUAACGGCCCACCAAGACUACGAUGGAUAGGGGUUCUGAGAGGAAGGGUCCCCCACACUUGGAACUGAGACACGGUCCAAACUUCUACGGGAGGCA
rnacentral:rRNA from 1 species